rnacentral:rRNA from 1 species
UACGAAGGGGGCUAGCGUUGUUCGGAAUUACUGGGCGUAAAGCGCACGCAGGCGGGUCGAUAAGUCAGGGGUGAAAUCCCGGGGCUCAACCUCGGAAUUGCCUUUGAUACUGUCGAUCUCGAGUCCGGGAGAGGUGAGUGGAAUUCCUAGUGUAGAGGUGAAAUUCGUAGAUAUUAGGAAGAACACCAGUGGCGAAGGCGGCCCACUGGUCCGGUACUGACGCUGAGGUGCGAAAGCGUGGGGAGCAAACAGG